rnacentral:tRNA from 1 species
AUUAUUUUAGCAUAUUUAGUGCUUUAAAUUUAGAAUUUAAGUUAAAUUAUAUAUAUAUAAUAAAUAAUA